GGGAUCAAGGAAAAGUGGAAGAAUGGUGACAGUAUGAUGACUGAAACAGUCUACAUCCCACAAGCUUGCAGGGCGGUGGGGGUGGGGAGGAUGGUUUCACUAGAGCUGGGCUUAUAACUUGGGAGAUGAAGGCUCACAGAGCCUGCCUUGUCUUACAUUCCUUAUUUACAUCCUUCUCCUAACCGGCUCCUACUCGCUCUGGUCUGAGCACAGUGAUGGAAAAUGAAUGGACCUGGGGGAAAUCUCAAAAUAUGAGCUCACUCUCUGGCACUGGAAAAUGGAGUUACAACUUGUGAACACAAGAACAUCUUGUGAACAACCUAAAGAGAAGCCAGGUGUCAGCCAGUUCUUCCUGACCAAUCACUGCUUAAACAUUACAAAACCAGAUUUUAAAAUAACCACCAGUACUUUGCCAAUGAACUCAAAUUCCGAGAGAGCUCAGCAAUAUUAACAUGAAACCCUGGAGGGUUUAUGUGUUUGGCUCUGGGCCACCAGCGGGUAAGAUAACAUAUAAGUGAGACUUCUUCAGGGACUGAGUCUCCAGGUUGCAAGGCAUACAUCUCUUUGCCACUUUGGACAGAUGACUGCUAACCACACUUAAUUAUAGGCAAUCUGUGGACAUUUCUGGGUUUACAUGAUUUUUGAAACAUUAUAUUCUAGGAAAAAGGUAAAUUUCAAAAAAAUUUAUGAGACAAUAAAUAAGAAAGAAUAUUAAUUGCUUUCUGAACCGCAACUUAAAGCUGUGACACAGAAAUAGCUGUUUGGGAAGCAGACUUGUACUGGGGGCUGACCUGGGUCAGACACCACAUUGGGUUCUGGAGGCUGAGAGGAGACUUCCUGGAGAUCAAACACUGUCUCAACGCUCACAGCCACUCGCCUGCCUCUCCUGGCGAGCGGUCUUCCCUGGAGGAAAGGAGAUAUGAGAACUUGGAGGCUGGAAUUCGCAUUGUACUUUUUGCUUCUCAGAACACUUCACCAGGUUCUGUGGAGAGCGGGCACAUCCAGCAUUUGAGGAAACAGCUACAGAAACUCUAAAUGACUUUUUCCAUAGUCAAAAACCAAAUCUGUUCUAGAUAACAAACAGUCCUAGAACCUGGGUCUCAAUUCUGAGUUGUAUCCUAUCCAUCAUACUGUGGAUUCUAAUUAGAUAGCUCUAACGACAUGUUUAAAGAAAUGUAAAUCUGCCUUAAGAAAACCCAGUAUCAAAACAAAUAUUCAUGACUGAGACCAGGUGGA